rnacentral:rRNA from 1 species
AUUGAACGCUGGCGGCAGGCCUAACACAUGCAAGUCGAGCGGAUGAAGGGAGCUUGCUCCAGGAUUCAGCGGCGGACGGGUGAGUAAUGCCUAGGAAUCUGCCUGGUAGUGGGGGAUAACAUCCGGAAACGGGCGCUAAUACCGCAUACGUCCUGAGGGAGAAAGUGGGGGAUCUUCGGACCUCACGCUAUCAGAUGAGCCUAGGUCGGAUUAGCUAGUUGGUGGGGUAAAGGCCUACCAAGGCGACGAUCCGUAACUGGUCUGAGAGGAUGAUCAGUCACACUGGAACUGAGACACGGUCCAGACUCCUACGGGAGGCAGCAGUGGGGAAUAUUGGACAAUGGGCGAAAGCCUGAUCCAGCCAUGCCGCGUGUGUGAAGAAGGUCUUCGGAUUGUAAAGCACUUUAAGUUGGGAGGAAGGGCAGUAAGUUAAUACCUUGCUGUUUUGACGUUACCAACAGAAUAAGCACCGGCUAACUUCGUG